CCGUUUCUUGAACAAUUCAAAAUCUAGGAACACGUUAAUAAAGUUCUUUAGUUUAAUUUUAUAACAACACAAUCACAAGUGCAAAGCCGGCACACUUCUAUACCAAAAGCCGGCAACACGAUCUACACUAGCGAGAAUCAUGCAGCUGCCACGUGCCCUGAAUGGGCCGAGCACCACGUGCUCGAGGUCACCUCAAAUCGGAAAGCGGAAUUACAUACCGAACGCUAUUUCAUUUGAGAGCAAUGACUUCGUUUUUUGUGUGGCUUUCGCGAUACUUUUUAUUCCUCAGAAAGUAUCGUAACUAUUGAUUAGUAAAUUUCGUUUAUUAUUAAUACGUCAUGCUCAAUUUAAAAACAGACUACAAAAUAGCGUGUCUAUCAAAGAAUGGCGUUGAUAUUCUAAAAAUACUCCAGUGACACAAAUUCGAGAGCUUCGUUUUUUCUUUAUUUUCGUACUUUGAUUGCAAAAUUUCGAAUGCUGCAUUAACAGAGAAUAAAACGGUUUUUGUUUUUCGUC